rnacentral:tRNA from 1 species
GGAGAGGUGGCCGAGUCCGGUCGAAGGCAGCCGCCUGCUAAGCGGUUGCGGGCCCAAAAGGUCCGCCGUGGGUUCGAAUCCCACCCUCUCCG